rnacentral:rRNA from 2 species
UCUAGAAAUUUGCACAAUCGCCGAAAGGCGGAUGCAGCGACACCACGUGGAGGAUGAAGCCCCUCGGGGUGUAAACUCCUGUCAGAAGGGAAGAAGGCGCGGGCGUUAAUACCGCUCGUUGCUUGACGGUACCUUCAGAGGAAGCUCCGGCUAACUACGUGCCAGCAGCCGCGGUAAUACGUAGGGAGCGAGCGUUGUUCGGAUUUACUGGGCGUAAAGGGCACGUAGGCGGGUAUGCAAGUCGGUUGUGAAAUCCUCUGGCUCAACCAGAGAACUGCAGCCGAAACUGCACACCUUGAGUCCAGCAGAGGGAAUCGGAAUCCCAGGUGUAGCGGUGGAAUGCGUAGAUAUCUGGGAGAACAUCAGUGGCGAAGGCGGAUUCCUGGGUUGGUACUGACGCUGAGGUGCGAAAGCUAAGGGAGCAAACAGG